GAGAUGAGACCAUCUCUACAAUUGUAUUUCACAGGAUUAAUAUAGCCAGCGAUUAACACUCUUGAUAGAUGUAAUGCAAAAUGUUCUGGUGUAGAAAAAUAUCAAAAGUUAAGUAUGGAUAUAGGUAUGAGGGUCAUUCUUGAAUUAAGGGGACAUUUGGACAUGGGAUUUUUAGAAAAAAUGAACUUGCCGCAUUUCAAGCUUUCCUUUUGUGAAGGGCAGCCAGGAACUAGUUAUGUUGAACUUCGUCUCCCCUCUACAUUCAAGCAGCCCUUCACAGCUGAUUCUGACUGGGCCAAAGAAAUGACAGAAGCGAUAGCAAACAGGUUGCUCUAUAUAAGCAAACUAAAGCUGAAGUUGGCAAUGAAUUGGCCAAUGCAUCCUGUGUUGCACCUACUACAGAUGGAUGGACCACCAGGGCUACUUAUGACAUGUUCAAAACAACGGGGAACUGGGAAAUCUCCGACUUCCAACUUCAGUGUGUUCAAGAUAACUGGGAACUCGAAAAAAACAAGCUCCGACAUAUUGCACUUUAUUUUAGCUUUGUUGUUGAUGAGCAAAAUCGUGAUUUCAUUUAAGAAAAUACAAAGUGUUGACAUUCUUAAUGGUGCUCUCAUCAGGCAUUAUAUGACUCAUGGUCAUAUAUGGAAUCAGGAUUACUAACACUUAGUAUUUCCUUAAAUAAACAAUCAUUUACUACGGUAACUGUUGUCAUUGAAUUAUUCUGCUGUCGAGAAACCAAACCGUGACCUCAAAGCCGCAAUACCUACCGAACCCGUUAGACUCAUUCUAAAUAAGAUUAUCCAAAAUUGUCAAUGACUGAGAUAAUACGUAAUUAUGAUAACCAGUCACCGUCUUUGGUCAGUUUUGCCCGUUUGUCUGUCAAAAGUAAUUCCACUGAGCAACGUCUGUCUGGUAAACUUGUUACACAGCUGCAACAAUCCUCAUUCACGAGCUUGCCGGAUCACUUUGAUUAACCCACCCACUGAGUCAUAUCACAUCUCAAUAACCCAGCAUCAAUAACCCAGCAUUAACAAUCAAACCUAGCUCUUUUGAAUGAAAACAACCAAACUAAGUGACCCAAUGCUUGCAACCCAGCAGUUGGGUCAUCCAAACAACCCAGCAUUUUUAGUAUAGUGAUUUUCAAGGUGCUAAAACACACAUUACACUAGUAAAAUAAACAUAUUUUACUUGCCUUCUUUGUUUAAUGUAUCUAUGCAAUAUAGGAAAAUACUUUUGUUCACUGUUUAGCAUUAAAAAAAGAAUAGAUAGAUAUCUCUGAAUCACCAAAACAUGUCACUACACCUCUACAUCACCAGUAAGACGAGCCAAUUCGUUAGCCCACAGUAGUUUCUAAAAUGCAUACACAUAUUUUGUAGUAUAAGGACUUUUUUUUUUAAAUAACAAAGUCAAUGGACAGCAUUUAGCUCUACAAUUCAAGAAUGAAUAAAUAGCAUCCAUGUUGAUCAUCCUUAAGAACUCAGAAUAUGUAGGAACAUUCUUGCGGAUCUUGCUUUGAGUAAUAAUACCCUGUGCCUCGUUUCCCAGUUGCGAUGUAAAGUAAGCAUUACGAUGAUCGUACCAGUUGCAUCAUUAUUUACGAGACAACUUUUUAAGAGUGUUUCCAUACACGUUCGCCAAGGGACAGGUCGAAAUUUACUUGGGGGAGGGGUGGUCCAAAAUAUGUGUUUUUUGGGGGGGAGGCACAGGGGAGGGUGGUGCAAUUUUCCCCUUGGUUUACAUUCGCUCCUCUACUUGUAGUUUCCAAAUAAACAAUGGCUUGAUAUUACCCUAAUAAAGUUUAGAAACGUUUGUGGUUUGGUAUGGUGUGGCUAUCAUUAAGCUUUAGCUACUGCAGGCCUAUGAUUUGAAGGCAGUGCACCCCGGGGUUUCAACUGGCUCCUACAGUUGAACUCGAGGUGAGGAAGACUGUUUCAGGUCUACCAGAGUUACUCCUAUAAUCUAACAAUAUAAUGCUUAUCUUUACAAAAUAUUUGGAUCGAAAAUGAUCGAAUUACCCUUCUUCUGUACGUCUAUAUGUGUAUAGCAGACACAGAAACCAUCUGACAUAAAUGCAUGCAUGUCAUGUUGUACCUAUAUAUACAUACAGUACCUAGCCUAAACAUCUUGAUUCUAUGUGUAGCGGAGAUGUUCUGUGAAUAAAUUGACUCGGAA